rnacentral:lncRNA from 1 species
UUGAAAUUCUUGGUGAGAUUUCAUUUUUAAUGAAUGAAUUAUUUCGAAGUUGUUUAAUUUCUUAGUGUUUUGAAUAUUUCCUUUUAUCUAUUUAUUGUUGAUUUCUAACUUGUUUCACAUUUGCCCUGUUUAUAUUUGUUAAAGUCUUUCAUGACCUGUUUUGUAUGGCUUCUUGCAAAAAAAAAAAAUGCAUGUUCUGCUGUAAUUGGGUGGAAUUUCUGUAGAGAUCCAGAUGAUCCUGUUUGUUGGUAAUGUUAUUCAGAUUACCAAGAGAAUGGUGUUAAACUCCUGAACUAUAUGAAUGGAAGUAUCUGUUCCUCCUUGUAAGUUCUAUCAAUUUUUCUUUCAUAUACUCACAGCUCUGUGUUUGGUACGUAUAUACAUGUAAGUUUACUAAGACUUCUUUGUGUAUUGGCCUUUUUAUAACUUUUUCUGGUGGAGGUGGGGUACUGGGGAUUGAACUCAGGGCCACUCAACCACUGAGCCACAUCUCCAGCUCUUUUUUGUAUUUUAUAUAGAGACAGGGUCUCACUGAGUUGCUUAGUGUCUCACCAUUGCUGAGGCUGGCUUUGCCAUCCUCCUGCUUCAGAUUCCCAAGCCACUGGGAUUACUGCGCCUGGCUUUUAUCAUUUUUUAACAUCCUGGUUUUGCCCCUGUAAGUACUUUUAGCUCUGAAGUAUACUUUAUCUGAUAUUUGUAUAUUCACUCUUACAUUUUUUUUUUUUUUUUUGGCUAAUCCUCAUAUCCUUUAUAUUUUUUCAUUAUUUUAUUUCAGACUCUUUACAUAUUUGAAACAAGUUUCUCAUGAAUAGCAUACACACUGAUUCUGCUUUUACAUCCUUUUUAUAUAUUUGUCUUUUAAUUGGUAUAUUGAGGCCAUUUAAAGUAAUUAUCGAUUUGCUAGCAUUCACAGCUCCAUUUUAUGAUUUGAAUUUAUUUUCCCUGCUAACUGUUCCUCUCUUGUGUUUGUUGUUUUCUUCCCUUUGGUUAAUUCACCUUAUUUUAGAAUUCCAUGGAUGUAUCUGUAGUGUUGUAUGUAUUCUAUCCAAUAAGCAAUUUUACUUCUCAGGGUCAUCAUGGCCAUUGUUUUUAUAAUUUUUCUUGUUUCCCACAAAUGAAUGAAUUCUCCUCAAGGCAUUUUACUGUCAGUGGUCUAUAGAGCUUCCCAAAAUCAUGUUUCCCGGUUGAACAUUUCUCAUGUCCUUUACCCACUGAUCAUCCUGCAUCUUACUGUAUUCAUACACACUGAUCCCAGUAUGUAUGUAUCCACCAUGUGGCUAUAGGUGAGCAAUCAUAUAAGAUCAAGCAAACAUGGUAUUACUAUGUGUUAGAGAUUGGGAAGUUUUACAUGUACCAACUGUUUUUGCCGCAGUCUGGCUGGGCACAAAAUAACCGAGCCGCCACGAAGCACUUGUAGGUUCAAACAGCAACUCUUUAUUCCCGAACUCCACCAGCACACUCCACACACACUCCCGGGAACUCUCUCACCCUCCACCAGGCUCCAGGCGAACUCUCGGAACCCGCUAGAACUCCAUGGGAACUCCAAAGUAGCGGGCACCCGAGGCAGCAGGACCCGCCCUAUUUUCGGACUGCAGGGUCCAUAUACAACUCAAUACACAGUCUGUUUCAAUCCAGCAUCAUCCAGUCACAGCAAUUAUAAUUAUCAUCAACUUAAUGGCUCGCUCUUAACCACUCCUUCUGGCGCCAUCCAGACUCAGCUGUGGCCCUCAACAGUUCUAACCUUUAUAACAUCCUUUUUUUGGGGGGGUGUUACUGGGGAUUGAACUUAGUACAGUAAUUACAGGGACGCUCAACCACUGAGCCACAUCUCCACCCCUAUUUUUUUUUUUUUAAGAGAUAGGGUCUCACUGAGUUGAUUAGUACCUUGCUUUUGCUGAGGCUGGUUUUGAACUCACAAUCCUCCUGCCUCAGCCUCUUGAGCUGCUGGGAUUACAGGUCUGUACCACUGUACCCAGCUCCUUUAUAACAUCUUUAUGUAUUAGUUAUUUUCCCAUUUUAUAGAAAGAUGAGGGAAUAUGCCAAAGGUUACCCAUUUGUGAAACUUGAGCUUAGGGACUGGAGGCAGUGUUGGUUGACUCCAGAAUAAAAAACUUAUUGCCUAUUAUGGGGUGGAUCUUCGUUCUCCUGGUCAUUAUUCAUUUUUACUAGAAUGGAUGAAACAGGCUUAUUUAUCUGAAACCUUCUAUUUUAAAACAUUUAAGAAUACAUCUUGGCCAUCUCUUCAAGCAAGUGAGAUGAACCAUACUCUUAAAAGGGGUGUAGUCUGUUGUAACUGUGGAAAAUCUAGAUAAUGCCUGGGUUUGAGAAAUAGGGGAGACGGGAAGUAAGGAGGAGCAGAAAAGGGCCAAGGCUUGCAUUUGUCUUUAGAUGUUUUUUGAGGUGCCUGAAAGACGACUCUGUGAAUCUGCCUAACUUUUGCUUUACUGCCUAAACCAGAUCACUGUAGCCCUCUCUCCUCUUCCUUUUAUUGUCCCCAUAGUGAGCCUCUGCUCCAUUCUGUGCAUUCUAUCUUUUGUUUUUUUAGUAGACACUUAACUAUUUGUUAGGUGAAUACCCACAUAUAGCAGGGUGUUUUUGUAAUGAUUUUUGAGUCCUUCACAGUGUUCACCCUAAAAAAUGGGCACCAUCUAUGACAUGAUGACCUUAAAGAAGAUAUGCAUAGACUUUUAUGGACAGAUGUGCAAAAUUUCAGAAGUCAUAAUGAAUGACUGUUGGAGUCCUCCAAGUUUGAUUUACUAGGAAAAUUCAGAGAACUCAUCAUAUCAUGGUCAGUGGUUAUAAUUUAUUAUAGCCAAAGGAUGUAAAGCACUUACUAAAGGGAGGAGACUCAUUGGCUGAGAAAACCAGGCACUACUUUCUUGAGCCUGUCUCAGUGAAGUCAUAUUAGAUGUGCUUAAUUUAAGCUUUAUCUGGAACUUAACAAUCACAUAUGAGAUUCUAUUAGGGAAUCUUUUGAUGCUCACUGCAGAGAAUUUGCACUGGACAUGUUUUCCAGAACAUACAAUUCCAGACCUCCAAAAAGAUAGCAGGUGUUCCUCAUAAGCCAUAUUGUUGACACAAACAAUUAAGGCACAUGGACCUGCCCACUCUUCAUUUCUGGGAAUAAUGUGCAAUCUGAAAAAUAAUGUCCCAAACUCCAGCCAGGUGUGAAACUUGGAAGCGCAAAGGAUGAUCAGUCUCAAGCUUACUAUGUUGUAUCUUCAGUCACUUAAAAGGCACUCAGCUACUAAAUUCAAAAUUCUUUAUCAUUAAGCAAAUAUAAUUUUCUACAACAUAUAUCAGUUAUAGCUUUCAGAUGAAGCCUUACACAUAUAAACCAUUAAUUUAAUAAGUGGCAAUUCUUAAACUAGUAUUUAAUUUAGUAAACACAAGGUACAGCUGGGUACCAUGGUGCAUGCCUAUAAUCCGGCAACUUGGGAGGCUGAAGCAGGAGGAUUGCAUGUUCAAAGCCAGCUUCAGCAACUUAGCGAGGCCUUAUUUUAAAAUAAAAAAUAAAAGUGCCGGUGAUGUGACACAGUGGUUAAGCAUCAAUGCCUGAUGCAAAAAAAAACCAAAAAACAACAAAAAAAGAGGUAGUCUGGUGAGAAAAAACCUUUUUCUCUAAUAUGUACACAAUGAUACAUUGGCAAGUGGUCUGACUUGUAAAUAUUCCCUGUUAGCCUUC